GAUUCAUAAUUUAAUCGAAAUUAAAAGGUCCAUGCACUGUACGAGUACAAUUCUUUCCAUGUUCUGCAUUACCACACUGAAUGUAUCAGUGUUUACAAACAAACAAGUUUCUUAUCUUGUGUAAUUUUUGCGCAGUUGCCACGCGGUUCUCCUCGCGGUUGGCUUGCCUACCACGUCAGUCUCAUAUUAUAUUUGUCGAUGGGUGAUCUGCACGCACAUUUCCUUCUCAAUAAUUUGAGUUUCUUAAUUUCUUCGCGUCAUUACGUAAUAUUUCUAAAUACUCCUUCCAUUGUGCGCGAGUGAUGUGCGGCGUUCGUUAAAUGCAAAUUGUUUAUACGCAGAACGCAGAGGUAUAACGUGAUGUUAUAACCGUUAUAAUAUAACGUGAUGUUUCGUCGGCCGUCGGAUACUCUUUUUGUAUGAUACGCGUAUUUCAUCAUUUCUACAAUGUGGAUAAUUAAGGUCCUUACAAUUUAUUGGAUAGGCCAAAAGUGCAAAAAUAAAUUUUGUAUCAAGAUGAAGAUACGUUGUUCCAUGCCGUCGGCUGCGUUCUUGAUCCUCUGGCGGCUUUCCGGGCUGGUCGCUGGUUGUUUUGCAUGAUUUAAAAUAAAAUUCUGCUUUGGGCCUUAUUUUUGUAAUGUCCAACCUAUCACCUUUCCUUUAUAUCCAAAGAAAAUACAAUUUUUGAAAUGUUCUAUUUUUAUGUUUUCUUACUUUUCACUUUUCUUUGAUUUCCGGUCUAAACAUUUUGAUUUUAAAAAAUUCCUGAUGGCUUUCUUCUUAUAUUAUCUUGUUAUUGUCGCCUUGUUAAUUGUUUCCAUCCGUUUUCCUACUUAAAUCUUAAUUUUUCUUUGUGUAUCACUCAGGAGAUAUAUUUUCCUUAUCAAUUAAUAGACCAUAUUUAUUAGUGUUUGGGCGAUUUCCCGUGGAGUCAAAAGGCGAAAGAUAUAUGUUAUUUUACUUAAACUUAGAAUUUUCUUUUAAAAUAUUGUAGUUUUUUUGUAUCACCCUGUAUUAUAAUUUCUUGUAGUAGAUUUUUGUAGCACCCUGUAUACCAGUUUUCCGUGGUGAAUUUCUUAAAAUGGGAAAGAUAUAUUUCAUCCCACUUAAACUUAGGAUUUUUUUUAAAUUUUGUCGUUUUCUCUUUACAUCACCCUGUAUAUUAUAUUAUAUAUUUCCCUACUUGAAUUUUGCAUUUUCUCUUUAAAUGUUAUUAUAUUGUUUUGGAACACCCUGUAUAAUAGUUUCUCGUAAUUGCCUCAAAAAUUAUGCAAAAUUUGUUAGUAUUAUAUGUUUUUCUUUGUUAUUUUUUACCCUUGGUAUUUGUUUAUUGCAAAUCUAUCGAAAAUUUGCAUUAAAAGGUAAUUUUUUAACCCUUUAUCGUGAAAUAUUUGUAUUUUUUCGCGUUUGCACGCGACCUUGGGGCUCACUAACUUCAGCGCGCCGUCUGGAGAUGCGGAAUUAAAUUCUCCGUCGGGCUGUAUUUGUUUGUUGUUGGAAUUCGAUCUGCAACUCGCGAAAAUUUGCAUUAAAAGGUGACUUUUUUCACCCUUUAUCGUAAAAUGUUUGUAUUUUUUUCGCGUUUGCACGUGAUCUUGGCGUCUCAAUAAUUUCAGCGCGGCGUCUAGAGAUGCAAAAUUAAAUUCUCCGUUGGGUGGUAACUGUUUGUUGCAGGAAUUCGAGCUGCAACCCGCGAAAAUUUUCGAUAAAACGUAAUUUUUUUCAGCCUUUAUCGUAAAAUGUUUGUAUUUUUUCGGGUUUGCACGCUUAAUAACUUAUGCACGCGUCUAGAGAUGCAGAAUUAAAUUCUCCGUCGAGUGGUAUUUGCUUGUUGCUGGAAUUCGACCGGCAACUAGCAAAAAUUUGCAUUCCAUGGGGUUUUUUUCACCCUUUAUCGGGGAAUAUUUGUAUUUUAUCGCGUUUGUACGUUAUCUUGGCGUCACAAUAACUUCAGCGCGGCGCCUAGAGAUGCCGAAUUAAAUUCUCCGUCGGGUGGUGUUUAAUUGUUGCAGGAAUUUAGCCUGCAACGCGCAAAAGUUUGCAUAUCAGUGUAAUUUUUCAACCCUUUUUCGUAAAAUAUUUGUAUUUUUUGCGUUUGCACGUGAUCUUGGCGGUUCAAUAACUUCAGUGCGGCGUCUAGAGAUGCAGAAUUAAAUUCUCCGUUGGGUGGUAUUUGUUUGUUGCAGGAAUUCGACCUGCAACCCGCGAUAAUUUGCAUUAAAAUGUAAUUUGUUCACCAUUUAUCAUGAAGUAUUUGUAUUUUUUCGCGUUUGCACGUGAUCUUGGCGGCUCAAUAACUUCAAUAACUUUCAUUAUCUUCAAUCCGUUUGCCUUUAUUUAAAAGAUAUUUGUUACCGACUAUACAAAAAAAAUGACGCAGCAAAUAAGCUAUACAGUAAACUACGAAGACAAUAAAUUAUUUAUUUGGAAUGGAAAAUUAAAUUCCUGUUUUUCUCAAUCUUAUUACAUCCCAAAGCCAAUAAAUAUUGAAAAUAAAAGUAGAUUUCGUGUAUGUCGGUUAUUUCAACAUUGUGAAAUUUUUGUUUGGUUUUUUCAACUGCGAGUUUAUCAGUAAGUUUGUGUAUAAACAACUUUUGUUCGGCUGACGCGUAUUAUCGCUACGUACCAGCCUUGUACCUGGCUAAACGAAGCGCACACGUCGUUUCACCGCGUGGUCCGCGAACGUGUCUGUCGAAUCGCCAUGCGUUUUGAAGUUUUAAUUGGAUUAAUCGUCGUGUACUUUUUCGACCAUCAGCAAAAUAUUCGCAAUAGUCAUGUGUGCCUGUUUUGUGGGGUUUAGAGUCUCCUUAAAUAAGAAAUAAGUGUCCAUUAAUCUGUGCGUUUGUUUUCAGUUGAUAGAAUAUAUUCCAGGAUAUAAAAUCCCCUCAUCAAUACAUAGGUAGGUGUGCAAUUAAAUUGAGUGAUAUGAAAUUUGCAUGUAUUAUCUUGCAAAUCACUUUGCCGUCGGCCGUCGGCUCAUCCAUAUUUUCGCUGAACACGUGAAUGUUUUUAAUCGUUGAAUAGUUUUUCGUUUUCAUAGUCUCCAACUAAAAAUAGUUACGUUUAUCCUCUCGGACAACUGUAUUGCUACGCGCCGUCGCUUGCCGUCAGCUGAUUUGCAUGUUUUCCGCCGGAUAUUCUAUCAAUUUAUGAUGAUGCUUCACCCGUCGGUUACUUUAUGCAGUUGAUGCAUCAAUUAAUAAAUAUACAUUCCCUAUAUGUUAAAAUGUAAGUGUUUGAUUUUCGUACCAUCUUUUUGCUCAAUUUCCCGAUGAUUUUCGGGUAAAAUCUUGCAUUUUAUAUUAAAAUAUUGUUGUUUAUUUGUAAAUUUCUCUCUUCAUGUUGUGAAUAUUAACUCCUUUUGUAGAGUCCGACCGAAAUUGAAUUUUAGCCAAAACCGAAACCGAAACCGAAAUUUCGGCCCUGCAAUCAGUUUCGGCCGAAACCGAAACUAAUUUACAUAAACAUAUUUUUCUACUUUUACCUACACAUCGCCAGUUUUUCCACGGUUUUUAGAUACAUAAUCCAUUUCGGGAGUAAAGUCCUCGUUUAGUCACUGGAUACUUAAUAUAGUAUUAAUAUGAGCAAACUAAGAUGGCAAGCAACGACCGCCAUUAGCCGCGAAGUUAGCCGAGCGACGCACGACAAUUCACGAAAAGUGAGUUUCGGUGCGGCCGAAAAUUUCGGCCAUUUUUGGCCGAAACCGAAACUGAAGCCGAAACUCGAUUUCUUGGCCGAAACUGGCCGAAACCGAAACCGAAACCGAAAUUUCGGUUGUAGUUUCUAAAGUUAUCUUUUUGUAACACCAUGUAUAUUAGUUUUCCUAACACUACGUACAAAAUCGCCGGUAUUUGUGAGUUUUGAGUGUUCUUUGUUUCAAAUCGAAAUUUUCUUUCUGAAACACCCUGCAUAUUCAUUCUUUCUUUGUGUCCGUAAAAAUUUUGCUUCAACUUUUGUUUUUAGGGUUUUCCUCAUUGCCGUUUGAUUUUUUGUAACACCCUGUAUAUUAGUUUCCCUGAUCGUCGAGUGAAAACGAGCGACGUUUGUCGUGUUUAGAGUUUUUGUUUGCACUUUAAAAUUUCCUUUUGCAACACCCUGUAUAUUUGUUCCCAUUUUCUAUCACGUAGAAAAUUGACAAUUUGCUAAUUCCUUUAUCCCGGUAGAACUUAGUAGGUACUUGCUUAUAAGUGCGCGGCUAAGCAGGUCGUAAGUCCUGUUUCUAUAUGGCGACAUGUAUUUUGUUGACUUGUAAAAUCUAAACUUGUAUUUUAUUAUUAAUAAAGAAAUGUUAAGAAA